CCCCUAGAUGUUCUGGGCCGCACGCGCGCUACACUGAACAGUUCAACAAGUCUUAACCUUGGCCGAUAGGUCUGGGUAAUCUUUGAACGCUGUUCGUGAUUGGGAUAGACCUUUGCAAUUAUGGGUCUUCAACGAGGAAUUCCUGGUAAACGCAAGUCAUCAGCUUGCAUUGAUUACGUCCCUGCCCUUUGUACACACCGCCCGUCGCACCUACCGAUUGAAUGGUCCGGUGAAAUCUCGGGACGGCGGCUUGGUCGCUUGCGUCCGACUGCUGAAACUUGAUUAAACCAUAUCAUUUAGAGGAAGGUGAANUCGUAACA
rnacentral:rRNA from 1 species